AAGUGCACGCCUUAAACAAGGAGGGAACGCCGUUUCCAGAGUUCAUCAAAAAGCACUGUGAUUCAGGCACUGACUAUAAAGAAGUGAUGAAGGCGAGUAUGAGCGAGGAAGAGCUUGCUUCGCUAAAGAAGGCUUACGAGGAGUGCACCUCUGCCUAAA
rnacentral:misc_RNA from 1 species